GGAGGAAGCAGGGGAUCGCAAGACCUUGCGCUUUUGGAGCGGCCGAUGCCUGAUUAGCUUGUUGGUGAGGUAAAAGCUCACCAAGGCUUCGAUCAGUAGCUGGUCUGAGAGGACGACCGGCCACACUGGGACUGAGACACGGCCCAGACUCCUACGGGAGGCAGCAGUGGGGAAUUUUGGACAAUGGGGGCAACCCUGAUCCAGCCAUGCCGCGUGAGUGAAGAAGGCCUUCGGGUUGUAAAGCUCUUUCAGCCGGAACGAAACGGUUACGGUUAAUACCCGUGACUACUGACGGUACCGGAAAAAGAAGCACCGGCUAACUACGUGCCAGCAGCCGCGGUAAUACGUAGGGUGCAAGCGUUAAUCGGAAUUACUGGGCGUAAAGCGUGCGCAGGUGGUUUUGUAAGUCAGAUGUGAAAUCCCCGGGCUUAACCUGGGAACUGCGUUUGAAACUACAAAGCUAG
rnacentral:rRNA from 1 species